GCAUGACUUCUGUUUGAAAGAUCCGUCGGAUACGGAUGGGCUCGCGAGACAUUAGCUAGUUGGAGUGGUAACGGCACACCAAGGCUACGAUGUCUAGGGGUUCAGAGAGGAAGGUCCCCCACAUUGGAACUGAGACACGGUCCAAACUCCUACGGGAGGCAGCAGUGAGGAAUAUUGGUCAAUGGACGCAAGUCUGAACCAGCCAUGCCGCGUGAAGGAAUAAGGCCCUAUGGGUCGUAAACUUCUUUUGUGGUGGAGCAAUAAGUCGUACGUGUACGGCGAUGAGAGUACAUCACGAAUAAGCAUCGGCUAACUCCGUGCCAGCAGCCGCGGUAAUACGGAGGAUGCAAGCGUUAUCCGGAUUUAUUGGGUUUAAAGGGUGCGUAGGCUGUGAUCCAAGUCAGGGGUGAAAGCCCGGAACUCAACUCCGGAACUGCCUUUGAUACUGGAUUGCUGGAAUACCGAUGCCGUGGGAAGAAUGAAUAGUGUAACGGUGAAAUGCAUAAAUAUUACUCAGAACACCGAUUGCGAAAGGCUCCCACGAAUCCGUCAUUGACGCUGAAGCACGAAAGCGUGGGGAUCAAACAGGAUUAGGAUACGCUGGUAGUCCCCGCCGUAAACGAUGAGUACUAGGUGUAGGGGGUAUCGACUCCCUAUGUGCCGCAGUUAACACAAUAAGUAUUUCGCCUGGGGAGUACGGCCGCAAGGUUGAAACUCAAAGGAAUUGACGGGGGCCCGCACAAGCAGUGGAUUAUGUGGUUUAAUUCGAAGCAACGCGAAGAACCUUACCAGGGCUCGACAUCCUCUGACCGCUCUAGAGAUAGAGUUUCCCUUCUGGGCAGAGAGACAGGCGGUGCAUGGUUGUCGUCAGCUCGUGUCGUGAGAUGUUUGGUUAAGUCCAAUAACGAGCGCAACCCCUAUGGUCAGUUGCCAUCAUUUAGUUGGGCACUCUGGCAAGACUGCCGCGGACAACGCGGAGGAAGGAGGGGACGACGUCAAAUCAUCAUGCCCCUUAUGUCCUGGGCUACACACGUGUUACAAUGGUAGCUACAGAGGGAAGCCACCUGGUGACAGGGAGCAGAUCUCGAAAAGCUAUCUCAGUUCGGAUUGGAGUCUGCAACUCGACUCCAUGAAGCUGGAUUCGCUAGUAAUCGCGCAUCAGCCAUGGCGCGGUGAAUACGUUCCCGGGCCUUGUACACACCGCCCGUCAAG
rnacentral:rRNA from 1 species